GCUGCUCCUUCCCGCCGCGUUCAGGCUUCGCUCCGCCUCAGUUUCUUUGGGGAAGAAGGGUCUGCUGUUGUGGGAAGGGGACCGAGGGAAGCACAUCCUAUUUCAUACGUGCUCUAGAUGAGACAUCAGCUAGACCUUCCCCAUUGUGAAAGGGGGGCGGGGGUAGUGUCUCCUCGCCCUCGGUUCAGCCAGCCUGCCCGGAGGGUGAUGGAACUGGUGACUUCAAAGCGAAACCGGCAGCUUCCGCCACCGCUGGGUGUGAGGCACCUGGUGUGACCUCUGGCUGAGGCUGCUGGAGUGAGAGCGACGGCGAGGGGCUGGUGCUGGGUGUGCUGUGAGGGUGCUGAGGACGCGGGCUGGAGCCGACCAUCCUGAAUUAGGGAGCCGGGGGACUUGCCGCAAGAGGUCACACAGCCAACGAGAGACUCACACCCGUGCCAGUCCCCAAAGGCCCAAACUCCGUUCUGUCUGAUGAGCCAAGCUGAUUUGUCGGGAUCGUGGAGGAGGGGCUAAGGAGGAGGUGAAUGGCAGAGAGAAGAGUGAGGGUUACCCCUCUUUGACCUUCCUCCUCUGAAGGCAGAGGCUGAGCCUGCAGGCUGAACAAGAUCCGUAGGCACCGCCAGGGGGAGACAGAGGCCAGGCUAAGCGCUUGCUUGUAAGGGAAAAGUAGUGCUGAGUCCAAAGAGACCUGUUCCUAAGGCAGCUAUCAGGGAAUUGAUCAGUACAUCUCCAGAGACACCUCCUACCCCAGGCACUGUCCAAAUGGGGACAAGGCCCUGUGGCCCUAAUGCAAGUCAGGGUAGCCCUCAGGAAUCACUGGCACCGAGUUCAUGGUUGGGACUCCAUCUCUGGGCUCUGUGGGCAGAAUGCUCCCUGAACAUAACCCUCUCUGUUCCUGAGCUAAAAUGUGCCCCCAGAAGGGGUGGCUUUCCUCGCCGCUUCCAAAUAAAAAUCUCACACUGGUCA